CCAGCCCGUGUCAAAGGUAUCCAAUCCCAGCCCUUCCUGGCCACCUCUGCUUACACACACACACACACACACACACACAUACGCACAGUCCACCACCACCACCACAACCACCACACACAACACACAUACAUACCACAUCACAUACACACCACACACUAUACAUACACCACACAUACCACAACACACACUGUACACACACAUACACACCACAACACAUACCACACCACAGCCACACACACACACACCCAUCUCACACACUCACAUGCAUUCAUACACACACAUACCACAUACUAUACACACACACAUACACACAUACAGUAUUUCAAAGAAUGAUUCUGCCCUCCCAACAGACAUAGCUUCCCAAAUACAACUGUAUGAACCCACUGCUUCCUGCCAACUCAUU
rnacentral:lncRNA from 1 species